rnacentral:rRNA from 1 species
AGUCGAACGGCAGCACGGGAGCAAUCCUGGUGGCGAGUGGCGAACGGGUGAGUAAUACAUCGGAACGUGUCCUGUAGUGGGGGAUAGCCCGGCGAAAGCCGGAUUAAUACCGCAUACGCUCUACGGAGGAAAGGGGGGGAUCUUAGGACCUCUCGCUACAGGGGCGGCCGAUGGCAGAUUAGCUAGUUGGUGGGGUAAAGGCCUACCAAGGCGACUAUCUGUAGCUGGUCUGAGAGGACGACCAGCCACACUGGGACUGAGACACGGCCCAUACUCCUACGGGAGGCAGCAGUGGGGAAUUUUGGACAAUGGGCGCAAGCCUGAUCCAGCAAUGCCGCGUGUGUGAAGAAGGCCUUCGGGUUGUAAAGCACUUUUGUCCGGAAAGAAAACGCCGUGGUUAAUACCCGUGGCGGAUGACGGUACCGGAAGAAUAAGCACCGGCUAACUACGUGCCAUCAGCCGCGGUAAUACGUAGGGUGCAAGCGUUAAUCGGAAUUACUGGGCGUAAAGCGUGCGCAGGCGGUCCGCUAAGACAGAUGUGAAAUCCCCGGGCUUAACCUGGGAACUGCAUUUGUGACUGGCGGGCUAGAGUAUGGCAGAUGAGGGUAGAAUUCCACGUGUAGCAUUGAUAUGCAUAGAGAUAUGGAGGAAUACCGAUGGCGAACGCAGCCCCCUGGGCCAAUACUGACGCUCAUGCACGACAGCGUGUGGAGCAAACAGGAUUAGAUACCCUGGUAGUCCACGCCCUAUACGAUGUCCACUAAUUGAUGGUGAUUCAUUUCUUUAGUAACGUAGCUCACGCGUGAAGUUGACCGCCUGUGGAGUACGGUCCGCGGAAUAACACUCCAAGGAGUUGACCUGGAACCGCAUCAACGGUGGAUGAUGUAGAUUAAUUCCAUGCAACGCUAAUAACAUUUACUACCCUUGACAUGU